CUAUGAAUUUGAGGCCAGCCUGGGCUACAAAGCAAGUUCCCAAAACAGCCAGGGUUAUGUAGAACCUUGUUGUCUCAAAAAAGGCUUGCCUUUAAUCCUCAGGACUACCAAACAAAUGUAAAAGAUUUUAAAAGAGAAGAUACCUAAGUAUAUAUAAGUUCUAAGAAAUUAACAAAACACUGCAGAAAUUCAGCCCAACAGAGUCCACAUGGAAAAGUUACUGCCCUAUUUCAAAAAUAUUUACAGCUUCCCCCUUUCCAGGCCACCCAGAGAGAUCGUGGUGGCUUGCGGUGAGAGGCAAGGCUCACUCGCUUGCCAGCCCACCUCUGGGAGGUACAGCACCCCCACAGUAGUUAGUACGCCUUCUGGCUCCAGGGAGAUGUCUGUGUGAGAAUGACUUCCACUCAAGGCAUCCUCCACGGAAAACACUUUUCUCUGUCUCUGAAGAAAAAAAAAAAAAAAAAGCGACUCUGAGCGCGCCGAGGAAGGAGGGGCUGGCAAUAACUCUUGCAGUCAUCCACCCCCUCGCCAGUUGGUGGUUACCAGGAUCCCAGACACUUCCUAAUGCCAGACAAAUGCCCCAAGCCUCGGCAUGUCUGGUUUGAAGAUCUAUUCAACUGAUAGUCCCCGCCUUUUCGAGGGAGAGCCCCAGUACUGGGCUAAUCAAACAAAACAUUGUUCUCAGAAGGCAGGAAGAAAGAAAAGGCUUGUCUUUGGGUCACAACGUUUGGGAUUCAUAUCUAUAUAUAAAAAUAUUAUAAAUAUAUAUAUAUAUUCCCAACUAAAAGGUUGCUACGAAACUUGGGAUUCCAGAGGCGUGGCUGGUUUGCACAGAGCGUGCACUGUACAGAAAUCCCAGGAGGGGAGGAAUCUGAAAGUUAAGAGCCAUUAAAAGGAAAGAGGGGGGAAAAAAAGUCCCAGGCACUUGAUGCCUGGAAAUGAUGUAAGACUCAGCCACUCCUCCGUUAGACCUGCAACCAAACGAUUCUCAGAUCCGUCGCAGCUGCUCUCCAAAUGUCAGCGCCAGUGCUGGGCAAAGCUUGAAACCCACCAGGCUUCAGGAGGGCCAUUCUCACCCACAUUUUCCCCCGAGCACUCUUAGGAACCUGGCAACAGGUAACGUGGCAACCUUUGACUUCUUAAAAGGCGAGUGGGAUAAUUUCAGGGAACAAACGGACUGUUUUCGAGCCAGCUGCGUCUCUCCCAACUGCCCCCGCAUCCAACCUUCUCCCUCCCAAUAGUCUGAGAAAACAAAUUUAAGUGCUGAAGGCUGUCCCGCUCUUGUGCGUCCCCUGGUGGCCAACAUCGGCACAACACGCACGUGUUCGGAACCCCUCCGCAGUUCCUGCUGGGCAGGAGAGAAACAGCUCCAGCAAAGUGGCUUCUAGCCUUGGUGUGUGCCCUUUCUCAAUAAAGAAAUGACUGUGAGAAACAAAUUCAAAAGGGAGACCAUCAACAUUGGAAACCUCCUGAGCAUUGGUGUUGCAGGGCUUCGUGCCUUGACGCAACAGACUGGAGGCUGACUCUGCUCACCCUUGAAACUGCCCAGUCACUGUGGCUUUCGUUCCAAACAGAAAAUACAGGAGAAGGAUCUGGAAUCAAGGAAAACCCAAGGCGAGUAGGGCUGGUGGGCAGAUGUAAAUCAGCUACCAAUAAACCCUUAGAGAAGAGAACCUUUUUGAUGGCAGCUGCCGGAGCUUCAGCCCGUUUGAGUUGCUGAUAACCUCAUCAAGCCCUCAGAUAAAGGCUAGUCUUGUCACCCUGGGCACCUGGCUGAGAGGCAAUAAAACGUAGCCUAAUCUCCUAAGGGUGGAGUUCGGCCAAGCUUUGCCCGCAGUAAUUAUAGCUCUAGAAUUGCGGUCCUCUUCUGAGAAACCAGGAAGGGGGAAGGGGAGAAGAUGGUUUAAGGCAGCGGGAAGUUGUGCCGUUUCUGUUCUUGGAUUUAAAAGAGAAAGUGAGCCAAUCAAGGAAGAGGGAGUGAGGGAAAAACAGCUAGGGGCUAGGCUCCCUCUCGAGGGGUUAACCAGCGUUCCUAACCGCAGGGUAAAAGGCUCAACUGUUGAGAAUAAUCCCAGAAACUUUAGGAACCUUCCUUUGUACAUGUAAAUAGCCGAGUCAUUGCCUUGCUAAGCGGAGAAGGAAGAGUGACUCAUUGGUCGCUCCUUACUCUGCCGUUGGAUGGAGUUUACCGAGAGCAAGAAAACGACUUUAAAUCCCAGCUCUGUAAGGGAAUUCCUCUUGGGAGGGAUGAAUGCCGCCCAGACAAAGGAGCCCCCGUUGACAUCUCGUUUACAAUCUACCCCCAGGACACAGACAAGACCGCCUCCAUAAACCCAGCUCAGAAACACCCAUUGUUCAACACCCUCCAUUAGCAACAAGCUACCGCCACCCCAAGGCUUUGCAAAAGAAAGGAUUUGGUUGGAGGAAGCCUGGGACUGGGGAGGCUGUGAAAAGAGACAGGAAAGGCGUCCUUUGAGCCUCCGUUCAAGAGAAGAGUGCCGCAGAAUAAACCUCGAGGUGUUUAAUCUUUUAGUUUCCUUAAGAAAUGCCUGGAAGAGCCCAAGACCAGUGAUUGAGAACUCUAAAUUGGAUGUUAGCUCAUUGCAGAAACUUCUGUCAACCGAAGUUACUAAAUAGACUGUCUCUGCCUAAUGUACAUAUUCUGAGCCUCGUAAAACCCUAUACCACCGCAGCAAAGCACGGCUGAGUUCUUUACUAGACGUUGUUCUGAAUAGUCCUCCAACCUACACCUGUACACAUUUGUUUUGGUCCCUAUCUUAAUAAAGCUCAGAAAUUCCA
rnacentral:sRNA from 1 species